GCCACUAUCCAGCCGGCUGGCAGGCUGACCAUCGUCACCACCCGCAGCGAGUACACACAUGGGUCUGGAUGAUAGUGGAAGCUGUGUUGGAAGAGAAAGAAAGAGAAGGGGGGCACAGGAAGAUCUAUCUGGGGAUGGGCUUUUCCAGAUGGUGAUAAUUCAGGUUCGUGCACAAGUCAAGACGGCUACCUCAAGGCACUAACCAGGAAGAGAAUGAACAGGUGCUGGCCAGGGCACCAUACCAGCAGGAAAUCAGCCAAUGCACGCCUAUGCCAGAGAAUCCGCAAUGGGAGGAGGUAGGAGGAGAUACUGCAGCGAGGAUAGGACCCGCCUCUGAUGAGUGAUAAAAUAUAAAAAGGACGUGCAGAUGGCCACCAUGAUGGUUAUGAUGUAAUAUCAACAAACAAGGAAAGAAUGGCUUCUUGAUAAAACAGCUCCGCUCUUCACAUGUGCUUUCAUGGGACAGAAGAGAAAACUGAGGAGAUUCAGAUACAGAGAGACCUUGUGGGCUGGGAGCAUCCGGGUCACUGAGAAGCACUGCUGGCUUCAAUUUCCCGUUCAUAAACUUGGCACAUUUCAGUCUCCGCACGUCACUCUCCAUAACUGUGGGACCAUUUGUCUUACUUUUCCAUAGCAAUAAAGCUAACCCAGAAAUGUAAAAACAAAAGAAAAUAAACAGUCUC